AGAGUUUGAUCAUGGCUCAGAUUGAACGCUGGCGGCAUGCCUUACACAUGCAAGUCGAACGCGAAAGGGGGGCAACCCCCGAGUAGAGUGGCGAACGGGUGAGUAAUACAUCGGAACGUGUCCAGUAGCGGGGGAUAACCUCUCGAAAGAGAGGCUAAUACCGCAUACGACCUACGGGUGAAAGAGGGGGAUCGCAAGACCUCUCACUAUUGGAGCGGCCGAUGUCGGAUUAGCUAGUUGGCGGGGUAACGGCCCACCAAGGCGACGAUCCGUAGCUGGUCUGAGAGGACGACCAGCCACACUGGAACUGAGACACGGUCCAGACUCCUACGGGAGGCAGCAGUGGGGAAUUUUGGACAAUGGGCGCAAGCCUGAUCCAGCCAUGCCGCGUGAGUGAGGAAGGCCUUCGGGUUGUAAAGCUCUUUCGGCGGGGACGAAAAGGUCCGUGCUAACACCAUGGAUCCAUGACGGUACCCGCAGAAGAAGCACCGGCUAACUACGUGCCAGCAGCCGCGGUAAUACGUAGGGUGCAGGCGUUAAUCGGAAUUACUGGGCGUAAAGCGUGCGCAGGCGGUCUAUUAAGACAGGUGUGAAAUCCCCGGGCUUAACCUGGGAACUGCGCUUGUAACUGAUAGGCUGGAGUGUGGCAGAGGGGGGUGGAAUUCCACGUGUAGCAGUGAAAUGCGUAGAGAUGUGGAGGAACACCGAUGGCGAAGGCAGCCCCCUGGGCUAACACUGACGCUCAUGCACGAAAGCGUGGGGAGCAAACAGGAUUAGAUACCCUGGUAGUCCACGCCCUAAACUAUGUCAACUGGUUGUC
rnacentral:rRNA from 1 species